UCAAGAAUCUUCCCCAAUGGCCGCAAGGCUGAGGGAGCGACGCCGCGUGAAGGAAGAAGGUCUUCGGAUUGUAAACUUCUUUUCUGUGGGAAAAAUUCUGAUGGUACCACAGGAAUCAGGGGCUGCUAACUCUGUGCCAGCAGCAGCGGUAAGACAGAGGCCCCAAGCGUUAUCCGGAUUUAUUGGGCGUAAAGCGUUCAACGGCGGAUCGACAAGUUUCUGGUUAAAUCUCACGGCUCAACCGUGAGGCUGCUGGGAAAACUGUCGAACUAGAGGUUGGGAGAGGCACGUGGAACUGCCGGUGUAGUAGUAAAAUGCGUUCAUAUCGGCAGGAACACCAAAGGCGAAGGCAGCGUGCUGGAACAUACCUGACGCUCAACGAACGAAAGCGUGGGGAGCG
rnacentral:rRNA from 1 species